AUGCACCAUAGAUUAAUUCAAAUCCAGUGUCUACCACUCACUCGGCUUAAUGUAAGACAAGAUGAAGACUCCAGACUUCAGAACUUCAGUGUCCAGGGAAGGGGCUGAAAUACCAGACUGCGAUGUACCAUCUCUUGGUUGCUAUGACUGAGGCCAUUAAAAUGGCAGGCAUUAAAAGACUGCACCUCAGUACCCAGCUACAAAGCCUCAAGGUCACUGCAUUCCACAGCUUCCCGUCGCCUUUCAUUCCUGGCCUCAGAGCUUCAAUAUCCUGGCGAGAUCCCCUCGCAUUAUAUUUCAUGAGGCUUAAAUGCAAGCUCUCCCACAGCAAGCCCGAGAGUAUAAUGGGGGUUUUAAUACAUUCCUUUUACCUAAGGCUGGGAUCCAUUUCAAAAAGUUACCCAAUAGGUUUCCUUUCAGGUGAGCUCAUUGCUCUGACAUUCCAAAAUGACAUUAAA
ensembl:lncRNA GNG12-AS1 GNG12, DIRAS3 and WLS antisense RNA 1